GAUGAACGCUGGCGGCGUGCCUAACACAUGCAAGUCGAACGGAGCUGCUUUGAUGAAGUUUUCGGAUGGAUUUAAAACAGCUUAGUGGCGGACGGGUGAGUAACGCGUGGGUAACCUGCCUCACACUGGGGGAUAACAGUUAGAAAUAGCUGCUAAUACCGCAUAAGCGCACAGUUCCGCAUGGAACAGUGUGAAAAACUCCGGUGGUGUGAGAUGGACCCGCGUCUGAUUAGCCAGUUGGCGGGGUAACGGCCCACCAAAGCGACGAUCAGUAGCCGGACUGAGAGGGUUGAACGGCCACAUUGGGACUGAGAUACGGCCCAGACUCCUACGGGAGCAGCAGUGGGAAU
rnacentral:rRNA from 1 species